rnacentral:rRNA from 1 species
AGAGUUUGAUUCUGGCUCAGAACGAACGCUGGCGGCGUGGAUAAGACAUGCAAGUCGAACGAGAGAAUUGCUAGCUUGCUAAUAAUUCUCUAGUGGCGCACGGGUGAGUAACACGUGAGUAACCUGCCCCCGAGAGCGGGAUAGCCCUGGGAAACUGGGAUUAAUACCGCAUAGUAUCGAAAGAUUAAAGCAGCAAUGCGCUUGGGGAUGGGCUCGCGGCCUAUUAGUUAGUUGGUGAGGUAACGGCUCACCAAGGCGAUGACGGGUAGCCGGUCUGAGAGGAUGUCCGGCCACACUGGAACUGAGACACGGUCCAGACACCUACGGGUGGCAGCAGUCGAGAAUCAUUCACAAUGGGGGAAACCCUGAUGGUGUGACGCCGCGUGGGGGAAUGAAGGUCUUCGGAUUGUAAACCCCUGUCAUGUGGGAGCAAAUUAAAAAGAUAGUACCACAAGAGGAAGAGACGGCUAACUCUGUGCCAGCAGCCGCGGUAAUACAGAGGUCUCAAGCGUUGUUCGGAAUCACUGGGCGUAAAGCGUGCGUAGGCUGUUUCGUAAGUCGUGUGUGAAAGGCGCGGGCUCAACCCGCGGACGGCACAUGAUACUGCGAGACUAGAGUAAUGGAGGGGGAACCGGAAUUCUCGGUGUAGCAGUGAAAUGCGUAGAUAUCGAGAGGAACACUCGUGGCGAAGGCGGGUUCCUGGACAUUAACUGACGCUGAGGCACGAAGGCCAGGGGAGCGAAAGGGAUUAGAUACCCCUGUAGUCCUGGCAGUAAACGGUGCACGCUUGGUGUGCGGGGAAUCGACCCCCUGCGUGCCGGAGCUAACGCGUUAAGCGUGCCGCCUGGGGAGUACGGUCGCAAGAUUAAAACUCAAAGAAAUUGACGGGGACCCGCACAAGCGGUGGAGUAUGUGGCUUAAUUCGAUGCAACGCGAAGAACCUUACCUGGGCUUGACAUGUAAUGAACAACAUGUGAAAGCAUGCGACUCUUCGGAGGCGUUACACAGGUGCUGCAUGGCCGUCGUCAGCUCGUGUCGUGAGAUGUUUGGUUAAGUCCAGCAACGAGCGCAACCCCUGUUGCCAGUUACCAGCACGUGAAGGUGGGGACUCUGGCGAGACUGCCCAGAUCAACUGGGAGGAAGGUGGGGACGACGUCAGGUCAGUAUGGCCCUUAUGCCCAGGGCUGCACACGUACUACAAUGCCCAGUACAGAGGGGGCCGAAGCCGCGAGGCGGAGGAAAUCCUGAAAACUGGGCCCAGUUCGGACUGUAGGCUGCAACCCGCCUACACGAAGCCGGAAUCGCUAGUAAUGGCGCAUCAGCUACGGCGCCGUGAAUACGUUCCCGGGUCUUGUACACACCGCCCGUCACAUCAUGGAAGCCGGUCGCACCCGAAGUAUCUGAAGCCAACCGCAAGGAGGCAGGGUCCUAAGGUGAGACUGGUAACUGGGAUGAAGUCGUAACAAGGUA